AUAUAUAAUGAUUGUAUUUGUAAUGACCCACCUCCACUAUCCCCACUAUCUCCACCAUCUCCACCAUCCCCACCACUCCCACCAUCUCCACCAUCCCCAACUUCUUUAAAGAGAAAGAGAGAGAGAGGGAGAGAGAGAGGGAGAGAGAGAGAGAGAAAGCUCACCUGAGCUCGUCGCCGAAGCAACCGUGUGCCGUGAUCACGUUCAGCUUGCCACCACCGAUAAACGCCCUAGGUAACCGCCGAAAACCGCAUUUCUUAAGCUCAUUUUCGUUUCCGUUUAGUAAAUCACCCAUAACUUCCUAACCAUUGAUCAUCUCGUACAUCCAAGGCCAUCAUCGUGUUCCUCUCGUCGAGACGAAGCCGUAGACACCAACCACGCCUCAAACGGAGCCCGGACGAAGCCGCACGCGCCUCCCGAAGAUUCGCCUCGGCGCGCGCGUGAAACACACGCGCCACCGCCUUCCGCCGGAGCCACCGCGAGUUCCGGCCACGCGCCGCCGUCUCCGACCAACGUUCGCCGGAGCUGCCGUGACCGACCACCGUCCGUCCGCCGCCGAGAAGCCGCCGCCGCGUCGCCGCCUCGCCGCCGUUGAUUUUCAGGUAAGCCGCCGGGGACCGACACCGGUGACUCGCCGGUGACUCGCCAACUCGGCCGAGUCAACCCGGUGAGUCAUCUCGGUGACUCGGUCAACCUGUGGUUUGACCGGUUUAAAUCGAUUUCGAUUCGGUUAGGUUAAACCGGUCGGAUAAAAUCAUAUGAGUACGGCUUAUCACCCGCAAACAGAUGGUCAGUCAGAGAGGACUAUUCAGACUUUGGAGGAUAUGCUCAGAGCUUGUGUUUUAGAUUGGGAAGGUAGUUGGGUGAAGUAUCUACCUCUAGCCGAGUUUGCCUACAACAACAGCUAUCAUUCGAGUAUUGGGAUGGCACCAUAUGAGGCUCUAUAUGGUAGGCCUUGUCGCACACCACUUUGUUGGACGGAAGUGGGAGAACAACGUGAGAUAGAACCAGCCAUGGUUCAAGAGACAGUCGAACAGGUCGAGAUGCUCAAGAUGCGGCUUAAGGAAGCCCAUGACCGUCAGAAGAGUUAUGCAGAUAAACGGCGAAGAGAUUUGGAGUUUCAAGUUGGCGACCUAGUAUACUUGAAAAUGAGGACAUUUCAGGGAGGAUCUAAGACCCGGAAGCUAAAGAAGCUUAAACCAAGAUAUAUGGGACCAUAUCCUAUUUUGGAGCGGAUUGGAGCAGUUGCUUACCGACUAAAUUUAUCAGGAGAGUUAUCAGAUUUCCAUGACGUGUUUCAUGUUUCCGUUUUGAGGAAAGUAGUGAGAGAGCCAGAGCUCAUUUUGCAGCAACCACCUAGAAACUUUGGCAAAGGGUUACGUGGGUUGUGCCAGCCAGUAGAGAUAUUGGAUCGCCAAGUGAAAGCAGAUCGUGGAAUGAUGACCAUGUUGAUCAAGGUUCGUUGGGAGGGAGACGGAAUUCAGGAGGAUACCUGGGAAUCCGAGCCCCAAAUGAGGAUUGAUUAUCCAGAGCUGUUUCGGGAUGUCAUUGGAAAGUUUGGUGAUGUGAAUUCGGGGUCGAAUUCCUUGUUAGUGGGGGAGAAUUGUAAUGACCCACCUCCACUAUCCCCACUAUCUCCACCAUCUCCACCAUCCCCACCACUCCCACCAUCUCCACCAUCCCCAACUUCUUUAAAGAGAAAGAGAGAGAGAGGGAGAGAGAGAGAGAGAGAGAAAGAGAGAGAAAGCUCACCUGAGCUCGUCGCCGGAGCAACCGUGUGCCGUGAUCACGUUCAGCUUGCCACCACCGAUACACGCCCUAGGCCAUCAUCGUGUUCCCCUCGUCGAGACGAAGCCGUAGACACCAACCACGCCUCAAACGGAGCCUGGACGAAGCCGCACGCGCCUCCCGAAGAUUCGCCUCGGCGCGCGCGUGAAACACACGCGCCACCGCCUUCCGCCGGAGCCACCGCGAGUUCCGGCCACGCGCCGCCGUCUCCGACCAACGUUCGCCGGAGAUGCCGUGACCGACCACCGUCCGUCCGCCGCCGAGAAGCCGCCGCCGCGUCGCCGCCUCGCCGCCGUCGCCGCAGUUGAUUUUCAGGUAAGCCGCCGGGGACCGACACCGGUGACUCGCCGGUGACUCGCCAACUCGGCCGAGUCAACCCGGUGAGUCAACUCGGUGACUCGGUCAACCUGUGGUUUGACCGGUUUAAAUCGAUUUCGAUUCGGUUAGAUUAAACCGGUCGGAUAAAAUCAAUUGGAAAUCGGUUAGGGAAAACCGGAUUAAUUAAUUAAUUAAUUAAUUAAUUAAUUAAAUAAUUAAUCUUUGACCAGCGGGUUGACUUUUCCGUAAAUACCCGUUUUAAACCGUUCGAAAGGCGUUCUGACUCGAAAUUUCGAUCUGAUUUCAGAUUUGGAGUCCAUUUGAGCAGCUGGAGUUCAUAGAUAUCUCUUAUUAUUGCUAAGGUGAGACCAAUGAGCAGGAGUGAUUAUCGGACCGGUGCUAUUGGGCUUUUGGGCUUCUAUCGCUUUUACCGCUUUUAUCUUUAUCGGGCCUUUAGGCCUUUGGACUUUUAUCGUCUAUGUUAUUCCUAUUUCAGACUUUCGGUUUAUAUCGUAUUUUAUAUUUCGGAUGUUAUCGAUGAUGGGCUUUUAGGCCUUUUGUUAUCGUAUUGACUUUUAUAUUAUAUGAAGAUUAUUAUUAUUUGAGUUGUA